AUGGGCGUCUUCCGUUCGCGCUCGCGGGUGGGCGCGCGCCGCCGCCGCCCGCUUCUUCCUCGGCAGUCCUCCGGUCCUGCGGCCUCAUCCGGUUGCUGCUGCUCUGCCUUGACCUCCGUUCGCUCUGCGCGUGACGGCCAGGCUCCGACGCCUCCUCCCGCGCGUGUCUCUUCUCCCGUGGCCGAUUCGCGGCGAACUUCGGGCGGGCCUCGCUCUCCUGCUGCUCCGACGAUGGGAGCCGUCCCGGCCUCUCCUGCUGCCGGCGUCGCCCUGGCCCGUCUGCCGCCGCCAUCUGCGCGAGGCCUAGCCGCGGCCUCCCUCGCCUCCCGCAAGGCUGACCCGACCGUGCAGGGGCGACUGGUCUCACGCGAGGUUCCGUCCACGCCCGAGUCGCCGGCAAGCUCCAAGCUGGUCCUCGCGACGCCAACACCUACCGCAUCGCCCGUCGUUGCUGCUGGAGACGGUGGUCAUGUCACUGGGCCCUCUUUCGACCUGAGGGCUGGAAAGCCACUGGCUGCCUCGGGUGCUUAUGAUGCUUUGGCUGCGGGUAUGGUGCAGUCUUUGUGGAGCUCCCUCGACAACGACGAUGAUGAUGAAGAUGAUGAGGAUGGUGUUGAGCUGCUCCCGCAAUCGCCGUUGGCUACCAAGUGCUCCAGCGGGGUGAGCGCUGAGCAUGAGGCAGCUACCUGCGUGGGUUGGCAGGAGGUGCGGCCGCGACAUGGUUCGCAUCGUCUGGCGUCUCGAGCUCCGGCUUCGUCCCCUCGGCCCAUCCCUGCGUGGCUCCAUGAUCGAUGCUGCAGGUGUCUUGUUACCGGACACCGUGCAGCGAAGUGCAGGGAUCCCUUUCGGUGCUCUCACUGCCUGGGGAACGGCCAUCGGGCCCGUGAGUGUCGGAACGCUUGGCGUCCCCUCAGCUUGCUCGAUAACCCUACUGCUUCAUCAUUGUCCCGCCUCGACACCAUUCAUCAUCUUCAUCCACCUUCAUGUCAAGCCCAAUCUAAUGCCACGCUUCCCUCCAAGGCGAUCCAACGUGUCUCCUGGGCGUCGGUUGUUUCUUCUUCUGCUGGUUCUGCAGCCUCAGCCGAGGUGGCGCUUCAGUCUGUCUUUACUGCGCAAGCCGAGCUGCUACGCUCUGAGCUGCAAGGCAUGGCUUCCUUGCAGAUUGUGAAGGCGAUUCAGCAUCUGAGUGAUGUGGUUGAUUCAAUGCACAUAUGGCUGCUGCGGGCUGUGAGCCUUCUGGAGCGUGCAGAGGUUGCUCUGGGCAGGCUAUCUCCUGCGAUGGCCGAGGCGCCACUCCCUCCUAUGUCGCCUCCUUUGCCAAAGCUUGUCGUUGACUUCGAGGGCGACAAAGAUGUGGAUCUCUAUGGCUGCUUCUUCCCUCGUGCUUCGGGCUUCUCGCCCUGUGUUGGGUCCAGUUCGACGCCCCAAGUGUUGCCGGACUUCGAGGGUGUGGCCUCCUCGAGGUAG
rnacentral:rRNA from 1 species